AUUGAACGCUGGCGGCAGGCCUAACACAUGCAAGUCGAGCGAGCGGCGGACGGGUGAGUAAUGUCUGGGAAACUGCCCGAUGGAGGGGGGUAACUACUGGAAACGGUAGAUAAUACCGCAUACCAUCAGAUGUGCCCAGAUGGGGUUAGCUAGUAGGUGGGGGAACGGCUCACCUAGGCGACGAUCCCUAGCUGGUCUGAGAGGAGGACCAGCCACACUGGAACUGAGACACGGUCCAGACUCCUACGGGAGGCAGCAGUGGGGAAUAUUGCACAAUGGGCGCAAGCCUGAUGCAGCCAUGCCGCGUGUGGGAAGAAGGCCUUCGGGUUGUAAAGUACUUUCAGCGGGGAGGCGUUACCCGCAGAAGAAGCACCGGCUAACUCCGUGCCAGCAGCCGCGGUAAUUC
rnacentral:rRNA from 1 species